ACGCUGAGACUGCGUCAGGAUCGCAGGUUCGGGACUAGUUCUUGACUCAGCGU
rnacentral:ncRNA from 1 species